AUGCACGCUGGCGGCGUGCCUAAUACAUGCAAGUCGAGCGCACAGACGAGGAGCUUGCUCCUCUGACGUUAGCGGCGGACGGGUGAGUAACACGUGGAUAACCUACCUAUAAGACUGGGAUAACUUCGGGAAACCGGAGCUAAUACCGGAUAAUAUAUUGAACCGCAUGGUUCAAUAGUGAAAGACGGUUUUGCUGUCACUUAUAGAUGGAUCCGCGCCGCAUUAGCUAGCUGGUAAGGUAACGGCUUACCAAGGCAACGAUGCGUAGCCGACCUGAGAGGGUGAUCGGCCACACUGGAACUGAGACACGGUCCAGACUCCUACGGGAGGCAGCAGUAGGGAAUCUUCCGCAAUGGGCGAAAGCCUGACGGAGCAACGCCGCGUGAGUGAUGAAGGUCUUCGGAUCGUAAAACUCUGUUAUUAGGGAAGAACAAAUGUGUAAGUAACGAUGCACGUCUUGACGGUACCUAAUCAGAAAGCCACGGCUAACUACGU
rnacentral:rRNA from 1 species